UAUCAGGAUGUGGUUGGUGUACU
rnacentral:siRNA from 1 species